rnacentral:rRNA from 1 species
AGAUUUCUUCGGGAUGAAGUUUUUUAUGACUGAGUGGCGGACGGGUGAGUAACGCGUGGGUAACCUGCCUCACACAGGGGGAUAGCAGUUGGAAACGACUGGUAAUACCGCAUAAGCGCACAGCUUCGCAUGAAGCGGUGUGAAAAACUCCGGUGGUGUGAGAUGGACCCGCGUCUGAUUAGGUAGUUGGUGAGGUAACGGCCCACCAAGCCGACGAUCAGUAGCCGACCUGAGAGGGUGACCGGCCACAUUGGGACUGAGACCCGGCCCAGACUCCUACGGGAGGCAGCAGUGGGGAAUAUUGCACAAUGGAGGAAACUCUGAUGCAGCGACGCCGCGUGAGUGAAGAAGUAUUUCGGUAUGUAAAGCUCUAUCAGCAGGGAAGACAGUGACGGUACCUGACUAAGAAGCUCCGGCUAAAUACGUGCCAGCAGCCGCGGUAAUACGUAUGGAGCAAGCGUUAUCCGGAUUUACUGGGCGUAAAGGGAGUGUAGGUGGUAUCACAAGUCAGAAGUGAAAGCCCGGGGCUCAACCCCGGGACUGCUUUUGAAACUGUGGAACUGGAGUGCAGGAGAGGUAAGUGGAAUUCCUAGUGUAGCGGUGAAAUGCGUAGAUAUUAGGAGGAACACCAGUGGCGAAGGCGGCUUACUGGACGAUGACUGACGUUGAGGCUCGAAAGCGUGGGGAGCAAACAGGAUUAGAUACCCUGGUAGUCCACGCCGUANACGAUGGAUACUAGGUGUGGGAG